UUUUCGAGUGAAUGAGGAAUUCUUGGACCUCACCUACACAAAUCAAACCUUCAGAAGGCAUAGAAAACGAUCGUUCUUAUCUAAUGCAUCUUCUGUAGAUCUCAAAAAACCCAUAUCUAUAGAUUUUAGUGAAAAAAGCGAGAUGUAAUCGUUGUCGGUCCACGGACAAGCGUGUCUGACAGGCGAGGUGUACUCGCACGGUGGCAGAGAGUGCCCGGCAAGCGAUGUGUAUUCGCGCACGCGACGGCAAGCGGCGUGUACUCGGGCGGCGACGGAGCAUACUUGCACGGCGGCGGAGUGUCCCCGACAAGCAGGGGUGCACCUGCGCGCUGACGGGAGUGGAGAAAUAAGCGUCUAAAGGAAAGGAGUGUUAAAUAAAAGCUUCUGCCGGAGAGGUGGGUGGAAUAUGAGCUUCCGCCCGUGGUGGCGGGUAGGAUAGGGGCUUCCGCCGGAGGUGGCGGGCAGGAUAGGGGCUUCCGCCGGAGGUGGCGGGCAGGAUAGGGGCUUCCGCCGGAGGUGGCGGGUAGGAUAGGGGCUUCCGCCGGAGGUAGUGGGUAGGAUAAGGGCUUACGCCAGAAAUGGCGGGCAGGAUAGGGGCUUCCGCCGGAGGUGGCGGGUAGGGUAAGGGCUUCCGCCAGAGGUGGCGGGUAGGAUAGGGGCUUCCGCCGGAGGUAGUGGGUAGGAUAAGGGCUUACGCCGGAAAUUGUAUGACCGAAAUUAUUACCCUGGAGAUGAGCGGAGCGUGAUGGUAGGCCACUUGGGGUAGCGGGGCAUAUAAGUGACCCCUCGGAGGUGGCCGGGAUGUGUUGUGUUUAUCGGUGAAAAGGGAACACCCUCCUGUGGAGAAUGCAACAGGGCCGUCAACGGCAAGUGCUUAUGCAUGCCGGUGAUGCGAAGGCGGGAAGCACACGCAAGUGGAGCGAGGGCGGUCAGGCUGUAGAUGGUGGAAGGAGUUGGUGGUCCACUGUAGAUGGCGGGACAAGGUAGUUUGCACAGCAUGCGCGAGUAAGUCGUCCGCGGGUAGGUUUAAAAAACCACAAGACAUCAAGAUCGAGUGGAGAUAAAUGAGAUGUGACUGUUGCCGGUCCCACGGAUGGCGCCAAUGAAGAAACAUGUCCCAAGCGGGUCGAUACUUCUACGGUGAUGAAUACGGAUAUGGCCACACCUCGUCUUCUUCGCCCGAAUCCUAGACCUGCAAAUAAGAAGAGAGAACGUGGGCAAUUGUAGAGACGGCCGGUAGAGGAAGAAUCCCCUAUUUCCAGCUACAAAAGUGUUGCCCUAUAUCUCAUACCCUAAUGAGGAGGUGGAGACCUCCUUAUAUAGGAGAUAUAGGAAAAACCCUAACCUCAAUGGGCCAGGCCCAGUUAGGGGUUGUCUCUACGAGCCCACAGCCUAGUGUAGUAUAAACUACAAUGCGCUGGGCCUCGCGGGUUAGUACACAAUAAUAAUAAUAUUUAAUUAAUAUAAAAGUGAUAAAUAGCAUAAAAGUCCGACCGUUUGGGUCGGGUCCAGUACCAUACCGGCCAUAUUCGGUACCGGUACCGGUACCAAAUCUUAAUAAAUUUCGGGACUGGGAAAUUCGGUACCGGUACCGGUUUUUUCCGAUAAUACCGAAUGAGUACCGGUUAUAUAUACACCACUUAUGUAGUACCGAUGAUGUAUCCUAUGUAGCAAAUCCCAUUCUUGGUGAUAUGUUAUCCCAUUGUUCUGUUCUGUUGACCACAAACCAAAACAUUGACCAAGCCAUUCAUAAUUGACAACAUGUAUUCUUAAUAUUGUUUUAUAAUUCAAAAUUAAUUUGAAAGUUCAGAAGUUAAAAGGGUGCUGAACACUGAACUGUAUACCCCUACUACCUACGUACAACCUAAGUAAAAAAAAAAUCUUUAGAAGAUCUCUCUCCCAAAUGGAAAACUCAUGGUUCCUUCUUCUCUCCUAAUGUAAAAACUGCUCAAUACCUCCUACUCAACCUCCUGUACAUCGGAAUUCUCUAAAAUUAAAUAGUGUUUAUGAAUAUUCAGGUACCAUCGGCCACUACUUGUACCGAACCAGCGUUAAUUUAUGCGAUUCAGGCUUGACAAGUUAUUGUAGGUUACUUCAGCAGCUUGCUAAAAAAUGACAUCUCCUUCUUUGAAUGAACCCAAUCUUAGUCAAGAUGAUGAAGAUGAAACGCUUGUCGAUGAGACCCCUCAUGAUGACCAACUAGGUAUUGAUUCGGGAUCGGGUAAUGGGAUGGAAUCAAGCCGUAAGAGAAAAAAACCAACAAAGAAACAAGCUCCCCAAAAGAAAGCCAAAAAAGGAGGCGAAAAGGGAGGCAAAAAAGAAGGCGAAAAGGGAGGCAAAAAAGGAGGCAAGGAGAGGGCCGCGUGUUGGGUUCAUUAUGAUAUUGUCUAUCUAGACACUACAAAAAAAUGAGUAUUAGAGACUAAAAAAUCAGUAUUCGAUACAUAAAAAUCAGUCCCUAAUGUUUAUCAAGGACUGAUUUGCCAGUC